rnacentral:rRNA from 1 species
UACGGAGGGUGCAAGCGUUAUCCGGAAUCACUGGGCGUAAAGGGCGCGUAGGCGGUCUGUUAAGUCCGAUGUCAAAUCCCGGGGCUCAACCCCGGAUCGGCGUUGGAUACUGGCAGGCUGGACGGCUGGAGAGGCGAGUGGAAUUACCAGUGUAGCGGUGGAAUGCGUAGAUACUGGUAGGAACACCCAUUGCGAAGGCAGCUCACUAAGCUGUUACUGACGCUGAGGCACGAAAGCGUGGGGAGCAAACAGG